AUUGAACGCUGGCGGCAGGCCUAACACAUGCAAGUCGAACGAGUGGCGGACGGGUGAGUAAUGUAUGGGAAACUGCCUGAUGGAGGGGGAUAACUAGUGGAAACGGUAGCUAAUACCGCAUACCAUCAGAUGGGGCAAGAUGGGAUUAGCUUGUUGGUGGGGUAACGGCUCACCGAGGCGAAGAUCCCUAGCUGGUCUGAGAGGAUGACCAGCCACACUGGAACUGAGACCCGCUCCAGACUCCUACGGGAGCCAGCAGUGGGGAAUUUUGCACAAUGGGCGCAAUCCUGAUGCAGCCAUGCCGCGUGUAUGAAGAAGGCCUUCGGGUUUUAAAGUACUUUCAGCGGGGAGGCGUUACCCGCAGAAGAAGCCCCGGCUAACUCCGUGCCAGCAGCCGCGGUAAUAC
rnacentral:rRNA from 1 species